CCUACGGGAGGCAGCAGUGGGGAAUAUUGCACAAUGGGGGAAACCCUGAUGCAGCGACGCCGCGUGAGUGAAGAAGUAAUUCGUUAUGUAAAGCUCUAUCAGCAGGGAAGAAAAUGACGGUACCUGAGUAAGAAGCCCCGGCUAACUACGUGCCAGCAGCCGCGGUAAUACGUAGGGGGCAAGCGUUAUCCGGAUUUACUGGGUGUAAAGGGAGCGUAGACGGCAGUGCAAGUCUGGAGUGAAAGGCGGGGGCUCAACCCCCGGACUGCUCUGGAAACUGUACGGCGUGAGUGCAGGAGAGGGAAGUGGAAAUCCUAGUGUAGGGGUGGAAUGCGUAGAUAAUAGGAGGAACACCAGUGGCGAAGGCGGCUUACUGGACUGUAACUGACGUUGAGGCUCGAAAGCGUGGGGAGCAAACAGGAGUAGAUACCCGUGUAGUC
rnacentral:rRNA from 1 species